UACGUAGGAUGCGAGCGUUGUCCGGAAUUAUUGGGCGUAAAGGGAGCGUAGGCGGUUCCUUAAGUUUGGUCUUAAAGACCGGGGCUCAACCCCGGGACGGACCGAAUACUGGGGGACUAGAGGACGGAAGAGGGAAGUGGAAUUCCAGGUGUAGCGGUGAAAUGCGUAGAUAUCUGGAGGAACACCGGUGGCGAAAGCGAUUUCCUGGUCCGUUCCUGACGCUGAGGCUCGAAAGCUCGGGGAGCAAACAGG
rnacentral:rRNA from 1 species